rnacentral:rRNA from 1 species
UCGGAUUGCAGGCUGCAACCCGCCUGCAUGAAGUUGGAAUCGCUAGUAAUCGCGGAUCAGCAUGCCGCGGUGAAUACGUUCCCGGGCCUUGUACACACCGCCCGUCACACCAUGAGAGUCGGGAACACCCGAAGUCCGUAGUCUGACCGCAAGGGGACGCGGCCGAAGGUGGGUUCGAUAAUUGGGGUGAAGUCGUAACAAGGUAAC